AAUCCAUAGGUUAAUGAGGCGAACCGGGGGAACUGAAACAUCUAAGUACCCCGAGGAAAAGAAAUCAACCGAGAUUCCCCCAGUAGCGGCGAGCGAACGGGGAGGAGCCCAGAGCCUGAAUCAGCAUGUGUGUUAGUGGAAGCGUCUGGAAAGGCGCGCGAUACAGGGUGACAGCCCCGUACACAAAAGCGCAUGUGCUGUGAGCUCGAUGAGUAGGGCGGGACACGUGGUAUCCUGUCUGAAUAUGGGGGGACCAUCCUCCAAGGCUAAAUACUCCUGACUGACCGAUAGUGAACCAGUACCGUGAGGGAAAGGCGAAAAGAACCCCGGCGAGGGGAGUGAAAAAGAACCUGAAACCGUGUACGUACAAGCAGUGGGAGCACCCUUUGGGGUGUGACUGCGUACCUUUUGUAUAAUGGGUCAGCGACUUAUAUUCUGUAGCAAGGUUAACCGCAUAGGGGAGCCGGAGGGAAACCGAGUCUUAAUUGGGCGUUAAGUUGCAGGGUAUAGACCCGAAACCCGGUGAUCUAGCCAUGGGCAGGUUGAAGGUUGGGUAACACUAACUGGAGGACCGAACCGACUAAUGUUGAAAAAUUAGCGGAUGACCUGUGGCUGGGGGUGAAAGGCCAAUCAAACCGGGAGAUAGCUGGUUCUCCCCGAAAGCUAUUUAGGUAGCGCCUCGUGAAUUCAUCUCCGGGGGUAGAGCACUGUUUCGGCUAGGGGGCCAUCCCGGCUUACCAACCCGAUGCAAACUGCGAAUACCGGAGAAUGUUAUCACGGGAGACACACGGCGGGUGCUAACGUCCGUCGUGAAGAGGGAAACAACCCAGACCGCCAGCUAAGGUCCCAAAGUCAUGGUUAAGUGGGAAACGAUGUGGGAAGGCCCAGACAGCCAGGAUGUUGGCUUAGAAGCAGCCAUCAUUUAAAGAAAGCGUAAUAGCUCACUGGUCGAGUCGGCCUGCGCGGAAGAUGUAACGGGGCUAAACCAUGCACCGAAGCU
rnacentral:rRNA from 1 species